rnacentral:rRNA from 1 species
GACGAACGCUGGCGGCGUGCUUAACACAUGCAAGUCGAACGGACAGACAGAGAGCUUGCUUUCUUGAAGUUAGUGGCGAACGGGUGAGUAACGCGUAAUCAACCUGCCCUUCAGAGGGGGAUAACAACGGGAAACCGUUGCUAAUACCGCGUACGAUCCAUGAACGGCAUCGUUUAUGAAUGAAAGGUGGCCUCUAUGUAUAAGCUAUCGCUGAAGGAGGGGAUUGCGUCUGAUCAGCUAGUUGGGGGGGGUAACGGCCCACCAAGGCAAUGAUCAGUAGCCGGUCUGAGAGGAUGAACGGCCACAUUGGGACUGAGACACGGCCCAAACUCCUACGGGAGGCAGCAGUGGGGAAUCUUCCGCAAUGGACGAAAGUCUGACGGAGCAACGCCGCGUGAGUGAUGAAGGUCUUCGGAUUGUAAAGCUCUGUUAAUCGGGACGAAAGAGUUCUGCGUGAAUAAUGCAGAAAAGUGACGGUACCGGAAUAGAAAGCCACGGCUAACUACGUGCCAGCCGCCGCAGUAA